GGGGGUAUAGCUCAGUUGGUAGAGCUCCUGCCUCACAUGCACAAGGCCCCGGGUUCAGUCCCCAGCACCCCAU
rnacentral:tRNA from 1 species